rnacentral:rRNA from 1 species
AUGAAAUCUCCGUGUGAGCUAGUAUAUGGAGAAACUAAGUUUGUUGUUCCCCCAAAGUUGUUUGGCAGUACUUGUUUUGUUCGAGAUCACCGUCCUUCUGUUGGAAAACUUGAUCCGCGAGCGGUGAAGUGUAUUUUUCUGGGCUAUUCUUCUAGUCAGCAGGGGUAUAAAUGUUGGUGUCCCUCAGAGAAACGCAGGUUUGUCAGUAUGGAUGUAACCUUCAGGGAGUCUGAGCCAUUCUAUGGUGAGCCAACAGAUCUAAGUGUGUUGUUUCAAGGGCUUGACCAUUUACACUCUGUGCAGGAUGGUCAAGAGGGGGAGAAGGCUGUAUCUCACACUCAGGAGGAUUCUGUGGGCACUAAUGAUGUGCAGGUUCAAGUCCAGCCAAUUGUGGGUACAAUUCCGGUUGGUACUCUCACUGAUGGUGAUGUGCAGGUUCAGGUCCAGCCAACAGUGGGUUCCAUUCAGAUUGGUAAUCUCCAGCUCCCUGUUCGAGAUCGGUGGCAGAAGACCCCCCUAGUGUACUCUCGACGAGAGCCACAAGUGCCACAGGUGCAUGACUCAUCUGACACUCGUCUGGUAUAUUCUCGGCGGUAG